GGGAUUGCCCCAGUAACGGCGAGUGAAGCGGCAACAGCUCAAAUUUGAAAUCUGGCCCCGGCCCGAGUUGUAAUUUGCAGAGGAUGCUUUUGGCGCGGUGCCUUCCGAGUUCCCUGGAACGGGACGCCAUAGAGGGUGAGAGCCCCGUACGGUUGGACACCAAGCCUUUGUAAAGCUCCUUCGACGAGUCGAGUAGUUUGGGAAUGCUGCUCAAAAUGGGAGGUAUAUUUCUUCUAAAGCUAAAUAUUGGCCAGAGACCGAUAGCGCACAAGUAGAGUGAUCGAAAGAUGAAAAGCACUUUGAAAAGAGGGUUAAACAGCACGUGAAAUUGUUAAAAGGGAAGCGCUUGUGACCAGACUUGCGCCCGGUGAAUCACCCAGCUCUCGCGGCUGGGGCACUUCGCCGGCACAGGCCAGCAUCAGCUCGCCGUCGGGGACAAAAGCUUGGGGAACGUAGCUCUCUUCGGGGAGUGUUAUAGCCCCUUGCACAAUACCCUUCGGCGGGCUGAGGUACGCGUUCGCAAGGAUG
rnacentral:rRNA from 1 species